rnacentral:rRNA from 1 species
UUGGAGGGCAAGUCYGKUGCCAGCAGCCGCGGUAAUUCCAGCUCCAAUAGCGUAUAUUAAAGUUGUUGCAGUUAAAAAGCUCGUAGUUGAACUUCGGGGUUCACCCAUUGGUCAGGCUUAAUUGUCUGUACUGGUGAGAUGAGUCUCUACCUUCUGAGGAACUUUCAUGCCAUUUAUUUGGUGUGGUUGGAAAUCAGGACUGUUACUUUGAAAAAAUUARAAKGUUUAAAGCAGGCUAACGUCUGAAUACAUUAGCAUGGAAUAAUGAAAUAGGACGGAUUGAUUCUAUUUCGUUGGUUUCUAGGGUCACCGUAAUGAUUAAUAGGGAUAGUUGGGGGCAUUAGUAUUCAAUUGUCARAGGUGAAAUUCUUGGAUUUAUUGAAGASURACUACUGCGAAAGCAUUUGCCAAGGAUGUUUUCAUUAAUCAAGAACGAAAGUUAGGGGAUCGAAGACGAUCAGAUACCGUCGUAGUCUUAACCAUAAACUAUGCCGACUAGGGAUCGGACGCAGUUAAUUUUAUAAUGACGUGUUCGGCACCUUACGGGAAACCAAAG